rnacentral:rRNA from 1 species
AUGGUUAGGUUCCCUAGCCGUCGCCACCACCGCCGUCGGUCGCUGCUCCUCUCUUCAUCGAGCCUCUCCCUUCUUCUUCCUGGUAGCCGCUGCCGCCUGCUAGUCCAGGCUGCUGCUGCCGCCAUCCUUCCUAGUCGGUGCCGCCGCCUCAACAUGCUGCUAUUGCUGCUCCUCUUCUCGGCUGCAGCUGCUGCUCUUCUCCUCCGGAUCUGCUGCCACCAUCAAGCUGUGCAUUCUGCUGGUGCUGGUCUUCAACGAGCUGCUACUGCUCUGCUAGAAUGGCGCCCUCCACCACCACCGGUGUUGUCCCAGUCCCAUGAUGUCCUGUUAUUUUCAACAUACAGAACUACAGGGACUGGGUGCAGCACAUCAAGCUGCACAUGA